rnacentral:rRNA from 1 species
UACGUAGGCGGCAAGCGUUGUCCGGAAUUACUGGGUGUAAAGGGAGCGCAGGCGGGAGAUCAAGUUGGAUGUGAAAUACCGGGGCUUAACCCCGGAGCUGCAUCCAAAACUGAUUUUCUUGAGUGAAGUAGAGGUAGGCGGAAUUCCGAGUGUAGCGGUGAAAUGCGUAGAUAUUCGGAGGUACACCAGUGGCGAAGGCGGCCUACUGGGCUUUAACUGACGCUGAGGCUCGAAAGUGUGGGGAGCAAAC